rnacentral:rRNA from 1 species
GAUGAACGCUAGCUACAGGCUUAACACAUGCAAGUCGAGGGGUAACGAGAGGAAAGCUUGCUUUCCUUGUCGACGACCGGCGCACGGGUGAGUAACGCGUAUCCAACCUGCCCCCAACUAGGGAAUAACCUUGCGAAAGUAAGACUACUACCCUAUAAUUUCCUCAGAUGACAGCUGACGAGGAAUAAAGAUUUAUCGGUUGUGGAUGGGGAUGCGUCUGAUUAGCUUGUUGGCGGGGUAACGGCCCACCAAGGCAACGAUCAGUAGGGGUUCUGAGAGGAAGGUCCCCCACAUUGGAACUGAGACACGGUCCAAACUCCUACGGGAGGCAGCAGUGAGGAAUAUUGGUCAAUGGGCGGAAGCCUGAACCAGCCAAGUAGCGUGCAGGAUGACGGCCCUAUGGGUUGUAAACUGCUUUUAUACAGGAAUAAAGUUAGCCACGUGUGGUUAUUUGUAGGUACUGUAUGAAUAAGGACCGGCUAAUUCCGUGCCAGCCGCCGCAGUAA